rnacentral:misc_RNA from 1 species
GGGCUCACCAUACUACUAUCAUGGCUACUCUUUGCAACCUCUAAGGGGAGCACGUUCUGCAUCCCAGCCUCAACGUUUACUAGGACCCUCCUAUUUAUACUAUCCUAGCAGUACUUUCGAUCCAUCCUUCUCAACGUAUCCUCCUCCAACUACUAUUCAACCCAUAACGCAUCCCUUUCCCUCCUCUACAGAUUUACAGCAGCCUCCACAGCAACCCACAACAGAAACAGAAGCUGGCGUGGUUACUUCGGAAAGUUCAAAUCCCUAGCUUAACCAAGAACUCAUCAUCAACAUAUACACGAUUCGGUCAAAUGCUCAAUUUGUAUAAUUUCCUUAACUUGGUGGUCUUCAUCUCUCUCCUAUAUUCUCAGCAUUUCCUAUAUAUCUGUCUUCACAGAGAGAAUUCAUUAAUCUUCAAUUCUCUUCCCCAGCUGCGGCAAGAAAGUUUUUGGACUAAUCGACCAG